UAAUUUUUAAUGUUUAAGCAUAUCAAAUUUUGAAUUUGAAAGAAAUAAUUUACUAUUAUUAAAAUUAA
rnacentral:tRNA from 1 species